CAGCAGCCGCGGGAAUACGGAGGGGGCUAGCGUUGUUCGGAAUUACUGGGCGUAAAGCGCACGUAGGCGGCUUGGUAAGCUGGAGGUGAAAGCCCAGGGCUCAACCCUGGAAUUGCCUUUAAGACUGCCGAGCUAGUAGGUGAGAGAGGUGAGUGGAAUUCCGAGUGUAGAGGUGAAAUUCGUAGAUAUUCGGAAGAACACCAGUGGCGAAGGCGGCUCACUGGCUCAUUCUAGACGCUGAGGUGCGAAAGCGUGGGGAGCAAACAGGAUUAGAUACCCCUGUAGUCCCUGUUUCUUAUAC
rnacentral:rRNA from 1 species